rnacentral:rRNA from 1 species
UUUUUAGUGGCGAACGGGUGAGUAACACGUGAGAAUCUGCCUUUAGGAAGAGGAUAACCUAUAGAAAUAUAUGCUAAAACUCUAUAUGCCGUUUGGUGAAAAAAGUAAUUUGCCUAAAGAGGAGCUCGCGUCUGAUUAGCUAGUUGGUAGGGUAAAGGCCUACCAAGGCGACGAUCAGUAGCUGGUCUGAGAGGACGAUCAGCCACACUGGAACUGAGACACGGUCCAGACUCCUACGGGAGGCAGCAGUGAGGAAUUUUCUGCAAUGGACGAAAGUCUGACAGAGCAAUACCGCGUGAGGGAUGAAGGCCUACGGGUUGUAGACCUCUUUUCUCAAGGAGGAAGAUCUGACGUUACUUGAGGAAUAAGCAUCGGCUAACCCUGUGCCAGCAGCCGCGGUAAUACAGGGGAUGCAAGUGUUAUCCGGAAUUAUUGGGCGUAAAGCGUCUGCAGGUGGACAAAUAAGUCCUUUGUUAAAUCUCUGAGCUUAACUCAGAAUCUGCAAAAGAAACUAUUUGUCUUGAGUAUGGUAGAGGUAAGGGGAAUUUCCAGUGGAGCGGUGAAAUGCGUAGAUAUUGGAAAGAACACCAAUAGCGAAGGCACCUUACUGGGCCAGUACUGACACUCAGAGACGAAAGCUAGGGGAGCAAACGGGAUUAGAUACCCCGGUAGUCCUAGCUGUAAACGAUGGAUACUAGAUGUUGCCGACUUUUUAAGUAGGCAGUGUCGUAGCUAACGCGUUAAGUAUCCCGCCUGGGAAGUAUGCUCGCAAGAGUGAAACUCAAAAGAAUUGACGGGGGCCCGCACAAGCGGUGGAGCAUGUGGUUUAAUUCGAUGCAACACGAAGAACCUUACAGGACUUGACAUGAAGAAGAGUUUUCCGAGAAGAAAAUGUGCUACGGCCUCCUA